rnacentral:rRNA from 1 species
UACGUAGGGGGCAAGCGUUGUCCGGAAUCAUUGGGCGUAAAGAGCGUGUAGGCGGCCUGAUAAGUCGGCUGUGAAAGUCAAGGGCUCAACCCUUGAAUGCCGGCCGAUACUGUCAGGCUAGAGUCCGGAAGAGGCGAGUGGAAUUCCUGGUGUAGCGGUGAAAUGCGCAGAUAUCAGGAGGAACACCUAUGGCGAAGGCAGGUCUCUGGGCCACUACUGACGCUGAGAAGCGAAAGCAUGGGGAGCGAACAGG